ACGCACUAGCAACAUGGAGAGACAUGGCUCCCAUGUUAUCCCGUGCAACCCCUGUUCCCCGCUUGUGUCCCUCUCGUUGCACAUGGCCUUGUAACCAACCAUUCCACCCCCUCCUAGAGCUAAGAUUAUCACCACCUUCCUUCCUCCGUUCGUCUGUACCCUGUACUUCUGUACUCAAACAGUGCUUUACUUUAAGUAAUGGUAAGGUGUGGCGGUAUCUCUACUACGGUAAAAGAAAUUAGCGAGGGCAUCCGGCUUACAUGGAUUAUUGCUUGCGCUAACUGGCCUUGUUACGAACAGGAACUCACUACAGAUUACAGAACAUGAAAGUUCAAAGCAAAACUACGCGUGCCAAAGAACUGCAAUUAGUGAAUCUUUGGUCAGCAUCCUGUACCACGUGUAUGUAGGACUUGAGUUCAGUAAUUCCAGGGAUGAUGUUGAAGAUAGAUAUUCCAUAUUGGUAGAGUCCCGGUCCCUUUAGAAAGCAACAGGUUUUAUCAUUUUAACUUUGAU
rnacentral:lncRNA from 7 species